GCUGGGUGUAGUAGCAUAUGCCUGUAAUUCUAGUCACCCAGGAGGCUAAGACAGGAGGAUUGCAAGUUCAAAGCCAGACUUAGCAACUUAGCAAGACCCUGUCUCAA
rnacentral:sRNA from 1 species